GACGAACGCUGGCGGCGUGCUUAACACAUGCAAGUCGAGCGGUAAGGCCCUUUCGGGGGUACACGAGCGGCGAACGGGUGAGUAACACGUGGGUGACCUGCCCUCAGUUCUGGGAUAAGCCUGGGAAACCGGGUCUAAUACUGGAUAUGACCUCAUGACGCAUGUUGUGGGGUGGAAAGCCUUGUGCGACUGAGGAUGGGCCCGCGGCCUAUCAGCUUGUUGGUGGGGUGAUGGCCUACCAAGGCGACGACGGGUAGCCGGCCUGAGAGGGCGACCGGCCACACUGGGACUGAGACACGGCCCAGACUCCUACGGGAGGCAGCAGGUGGGGAAUCUUGCGCAAUGGGCGAAAGCCUGACGCAGCGACGCCGCGUGAGGGAUGACGGCCU
rnacentral:rRNA from 1 species